UAAGAGCACAUGGCGGAUGUCUUGGCGUCAAGAGGCGAUGAAGGACGUGGGAACCUGCGAAAAGUUCAGGGGAGCCGGUAACCAGGCUGUGAUCCUGAAAUGUCCGAAUGGGGAAACCCGGCCGUAAGGUCACUCUUACCUGAAUGCAUAGGGUAAGAGAGCGAACCUGGGGAACUGAAACAUCUAAGUACCCAGAGGAAAGGAAAUCAACCGAGACUCCGUGAGUAGCGGCGAGCGAAAGCGGAUUGCGACUUAAGUCAGUGAACGCGUUGGAAAGCGCGGCCAAAGAAGGUGAUAGCCCUGUAGUUGGAUGAUGUCGCUCAGCCCUAGAGUAGCGUCGGUGUCGUGAAACCCGGCGUGAACAUGGGGGGUCCACCCUCCAAGGCUAAGUACUACUUGACGACCGAUAGUUAACCAGUAAGGCGACUGAAUGAUGAAAACUACCCCUGCUAGGGGUGUGAAAGAGUAGCUGAAACCAUGUGCUUACACAGCGGUCAGAGCCCUUCGGGGUGAUGGCGUGCCUUUUGCAUAAUGACCCGGCGAGUUACUCUCAUUGGCGAGGUUAAGGCCUAGCGGGCCGAAGCCGAAGCGAAAGCGAGUCUGAAAUAGGCGUUGAGUCGAUGGGAGUAGACGCGAAACCUUGUGAUCUACCCAUGGGCAGGCUGAAGGCCGGGUAAAACCGGCUGGAGGGCCGAACGCACCAACGUUGAAAAGUUGGGCGAUGACCUGUGGGGAGGACUAAAAGUGUAAUCAAACUGGGAGAUAGCUCGUUCUCUCCGAAAUAUUUUUAGGAAUAGCCUCUUGCGGCAACUGUUGGGGGUAGAGCCACUGGAUACGGAUGGGGCCCUCGGGUACCCACUGUAACCAAACUCCGAAUACCAACAGCCAAGGCAAGGGAGUCAGCCCACGAGUGACAAUAUCCGUGGACAAAAGGGAAACAUCCCAGACCGCCAGCUAAGGUCCCUGAACAUUGCUUAGUUCUAAAGGAAGUCGAAGCGCAAAGACAGCCAGGAUGUUGGCUUAGAAGCAGCCAUCAUUUAAAGAAAGCGUAACAGCUCACUGGUCAAGCGUUCCUGCGCGGAAAAUGUAACGGGGCUUAAGUGAUACACCGAAGCUGCGGACUCAGAAAUGAGUGGUAGCGGAGCGUUCUGUAAGUCUGUGAAGGUGGCCUGCGAGGGCUGCUGGAGAUAUCAGAAGUGAGAAUGCUGACAUGAGUAGCGAUAAAGAGGGUGAGAGGCCCUCUCGCCGAAAGUCCAAGGGUUCCUGCGCAAUGCUAAUCAGCGCAGGGUAAGCCGGCCCCUAAGGCGAGGCCGAAAGGCGUAGUCGAUGGGAACCAGGUUAAUAUUCCUGGGCCAGCGGGUAGUGACGGAUUGCGGACGUUGUACACUCUUACUGGAUUGAGUGUGCAGCCAAGCCGUCCCUGGAAAUAGCUCCCGCAUGAGACCGUACCCCAAACCGACACAGGUGGUCAGGUAGAGAAUACUAAGGCGCUUGAGAGAACUCGGGUGAAGGAACUCGGCAAAAUUGUACCGUAACUUCGGGAGAAGGUACGCCUCUGUUUGUGAACACUUCGCGUGGUAAGCAAAUGGAGGCCGCAGUGACCAGGUGGCUGGGACUGUUUAUUAAAAACACAGCACUCUGCAAACUCGUAAGAGGACGUAUAGGGUGUGACACCUGCCCGGUGCCGGAAGGUUAAUUGAUGGGGUUAGUUUUCGGACGAAGCUCUUGAUCGAAGCCCCGGUAAACGGCGGCCGUAACAAUAACGGUCCUAAGGUAGCGAAAUUCCUUGUCGGGUAAGUUCCGACCUGCACGAAUGGCGUAACGAUGGGGGCGCUGUCUCUACCCGAGACUCAGUGAAAUUGAAAUCGCCGUGAAGAUGCGGUGUAUCCGCGGCUAGACGGAAAGACCCCGUGAACCUUUACUAUAGCUUCACAGUGAACUUUGAGCAUGUUUGUGUAGGAUAGCUGGGAGGCUUUGAAGUGGGAACGCCAGUUCUCAUGGAGCCAACCUUGAAAUACCAGCCUGACAUGUUUGAGGUUCUAACUUGGUCCCCUUAUCGGGGAUGAGGACACUGUGUGGUGGGUAGUUUGACUGGGGCGGUCUCCUCCCAAAGCGUAACGGAGGAGCACAAAGGUGGGCUAAGCAUGGUCGGACAUCAUGCGGUUAGUGUAAUGGCACAAGCCCGCUUAACUGCGAGACAGACACGUCGAGCAGGUACGAAAGUAGGUCAUAGUGAUCCGGUGGUUCUGUAUGGAAGGGCCAUCGCUCAACGGAUAAAAGGUACUCCGGGGAUAACAGGCUGAUACCGCCCAAGAGUUCACAUCGACGGCGGUGUUUGGCACCUCGAUGUCGGCUCAUCACAUCCUGGGGCUGAAGCCGGUCCCAAGGGUAUGGCUGUUCGCCAUUUAAAGUGGUACGCGAGCUGGGUUUAGAACGUCGUGAGACAGUUCGGUCCCUAUCUGCCGUGGACGUUGGAGAUUUGAGGAAAGCUGCUCCUAGUACGAGAGGACCGGAGUGGACGAACCGCUGGUGUUCGGGUUGUCAUGCCAAUGGCAUUGCCCGGUAGCUAUGUUCGGAACGGAUAACCGCUGAAAGCAUCUAAGCGGGAAGCCGGCCCAAAGAUGAGUCAUCCCUGACCUUUAAGGUCUGGAAGGGUUGUUAUAGACGAUGACGUUGAUAGGCAGGGUGUGGAAGCGUUGUAAGGCGUUAAGCUAACCUGUACUAAUUGCCCGAGAGGCUUAACC
rnacentral:rRNA from 1 species